rnacentral:rRNA from 1 species
CCCGCUGAACUUAAGCAUAUCAAUAAGCGGAGGAAAAGAAACUAACAAGGAUUCCCCUAGUAACUGCGAGUGAAGCGGGAAAAGCUCAAAUUUUAAAUCUGGCGGCCCUCCUGUGGGUUGUCCGAGUUGUAAUCUAGAGAAGUGCUUUCCGCGCUGGACCGUGUACAAGUCUCUUGGAAUGGAGCGUCGUAGAGGGUGACAAUCCCGUCUUUGACACGGACUGCCAGGGCUUUUAUGUGAUGCGCUCUCGAAGAGUCGAGUUGUUUGGGAAUGCAGCUCAAAAUGGGUGGUAAAUUCCAUCUAAAGCUAAAUAUGGGCGAGAGACCGAUAGCGGACAAGUACCGUGAGGGAAAGAUGAAAAGGACUUUGAAAAGAGAGUUAAACAGUACGUGAAAUUGCUGAAAGGGAAACGAUUCAAGUCAGUCGCAUUGGCCGGUAAUCAACCUUUGCAAAUCCAAUUUGCUGGGCUUACUUUCCGGUUUGAUGGGUCAGCAUCAAUUUUGACUGUCGGAUAAAGGCUUGGGGGAAUGUGGCAUCUUCGGAUGUGUUAUAGCCCUUGGUCGCAUGCGAUGGUUGGGAUUGAGGAACUCAGCAUGGCCCUUUGAAAGGAGGGCUCGGAGGGGUUGUUGCCCUUCACGUAACGUGCUUAGGAUGUUGGCAUAAUGGCUUGAACCGACCCGUCUUGAAACACGG